GCAUAGUGCUUAUCGUCUUCUUCGUCAUCUCUUUGGUUCUUCUGGUGGUCGAGAUUUUCUACGUGCUUUGGCACCGGAGAAGAUUUUGGAGUGGGAGCGUCGCAGAUGGCGACGUGGAGUUCAGCGAUGAAUCAUUCUACCCGGCACCAUCAAAAGAGCUACUGUACUUCUUCUGCUGGAAGAACCAGACAUCUCGCAUCGAACUUGCUGGUGCAGAAACAACAGCAGCACCAGUAGCGACGGCUCCGCCACUCCCGCCGAUUAUGCUUGCUGAUGCCCAUGUGGAUGAGAUGCUGAAGCAGCAUGCACUAUACGGUCCAUCUAAGGUUUUGUUCACUAUAAAAGAAGAGGAAAAAGAGGAGAUGGAAACAGACUCGUCUUCUGCAGAGAACGGGGAGAGAAAAAGGAAAAAGAAGACGAAGAAGAAGUCGAGGAGCACCUCUUUGGAAGACGUUGCCGUUACUGCUGUGGUGAUUGACAUAGAUGAAUCGACGCCUUUUUCGACUCCGUGUGCUUCGCCUCCGUACUAUACUCCGUCACCGUCUCCUUCUCGUGACAGAAAUUAUCCACACUCAUCAGCUGAAAACAUAGUUCUGGAAGCCUAUAACGAUAUGCAAAUAGAACCGCAAGAAACAAAAGACGUUUCUGGUGAUAAAACGGUGUCGUUGGUUAGCAUAGAGUUCCCCUCUUCAUAGUGGAUCCAUUGUAAUCUCCCGGAAAAAAAAAAAAAGGGUUUCCCGGCUGUUAACGACCGGCCGGAGUAAUCAUCGUUCGGUUUUUGUCGCGUAUGUAUUUCAAGUUUUCAACAUAUUUCGUAGUUGGUUCUGAUGUUGCCACGUCAGUAAGAGUCAAGUAACUGGUGGUGUCAAGAAACGCGGCAAAAUCAGACGGUAGAGGGAUUCUGCGGGC
rnacentral:misc_RNA from 1 species